rnacentral:rRNA from 1 species
GACGAACGCUGGCGGCGUGCUUAACACAUGCAAGUCGAACGGAAAGGCCGCUUUCCCUUGUGGAUUGCGGGUACUCGAGUGGCGAACGGGUGAGUAACACGUGAGUGAUCUGCCCCCAACUUGGGUAUAAGCCUGGGAAACUGGGUCUAAUUCCCGAUAGGACUGCAGGGUGGUGCCUGUGGUGGAAAACGAUUUUCUAGUGGUUGGGGAUGAGCUCGCGGCCUAUCAGCUUGUUGGUGGGGUAAUGGCCUACCAAGGCGGCGACGGGUAGCCGGCCUGAGAGGGUGGACGGCCACAUUGGGACUGCGAUACGGCCCAGACUCCUACGGGAGGCAGCAGUGGGGAAUAUUGCACAAUGGGCGGAAGCCUGAUGCAGCGACGCCGCGUGGGGGAUGACGGCCUUCGGGCUGUAAACUCCUUUCGACCGCGAGGAAGCCACCUGGUUGGAAGGGUGGUGACGGUAGUGGUAGAAGAAGCACCGGCUAACUACGUG